AUGGAGAGUAGCAGGUCGUUGCGGCACCUCGCCGAGUACGAUGACUUCUUCUUCGGGUGGCUCGACGACAGCGCACGGCACUCGCCGCCGUCCUUGGACCACCUCGUCCACGGCGUCGGUCAUUCCUUCCAAAUCUCAACGUCGUCCUCCUUCAUCGACUUGUACCCCCGCGACGAUCUCUUCUCCAUCGACUUAACCACGGCGGCGAGUGACUUCGACUUCGACCUGCCGGUAGUAGACGAUGCCGCGCCGUCCCCGAUGAUGCCGCAGAUCAGCGCGAGCCGCCUCCUCCCCUGCGAGCCCGGAGGCGGCUCCGGCGCGCAAGAAGACGGCGACGAGUCGGUGUCGGUGAUCACCAGUCGGUAUCAUCACUCUGCGGACGCCCCGAGCGCGCCGUGGUUGUCAGCCUUCUCGUCGCCGGUCUCCCACUCGGCGCGGAGCACGCUAGUCUCGCUGAGUGCGUGCUCCAUCGCGACGAGCAAGCACGCCAGGCCGCGGCCGGCAGCGUUGUGUGCCGGGAGGCGGCGCGCGGGGUCGUCGCCAUGGAAGGUGCUGCGUUUCCUGAUGCCCCUGUACCGGAAGGUCAGGGCGAUCGCGCGGAGGCACAGCAGGUUCACGUUGGCGCGCGGGGCCACGUCGAGCGUCGCGUACCACGGCAGGGCCGACACGGACGUCCAUGACGUCAUCCUCUAUUGCAAGAAGUCCAGCGGAUCAGGUGUGCAGGAGACUAAUCGCAUGUCAGCCACAUGA
rnacentral:rRNA from 1 species